UUUUUUUUGUGCCAUUUACAGGGAGAAUAUUCUUAUUUUUUUUUGUUUUCCAGUACAUCUUGUCUUGGGAGCACCCUUUGAUUUUACAUCUGUAAGUAGUUAUCAGUUAAAGUAAUUGACCUUUAUGAUGUUGUAGCAGUUGAUAUUUAAAGAUUUCUCUAUGUUUGUGUCUUCCAGUGUGACAUUCCAAUCAUACGGAGAUGGUGGACUCUUAUUCUUCUGGAGAACUUUGGAGUUUUCUCUGAAAGUGCAGAAACCCUACAAGAGGCCCUUCCAAUUGGAUAACAGGCUACGCUUGUGAGGAGAUCCCAGUAAUCUCACAGAAGUUGUGAAAUGGCUCCAUUAAACAGACAUCUGCUCAGGGGUCCAGUGGGAGAGCCUAUUUUCCUUAUAAUGGAGCAAGAGGACAAGGAAAAGGCCCUCAACAAUCUCCUGGAACAGAAGUUUCCAGAGUGCCCUUCAUAUUUCAUCUUGUGUUCAGGGGAGUUAUUUUUGUAGGAUUGUCACGACAAAAUGUGCCCAAGAGUGAAUUGUUCAUUUUGUUUUCAUGCAG